UCUGGUCGAACAAACAAGGGGGGAAGCAAGAGGAUGAACCCUAGUUCACCAAAUUCACAAGAAUUAAGUGAAAUCUUGAGAAAAUUAAAGGUGUAAACAACGAAUUCAAGGCUCCUACAUCUGUCCUUCGAAUUGGCAUAAAGGAAGAAGGUUCAAGCUCUAAGAAGUCGGAAGGCUCUCAUGAUCGAGGAUGGAAAUCUCGUCAGUUGAUUCAAGUAUGGAUGGCAAACAGGGUAGGAGGAAACGAUGAGGCAAGCAUGAACGUGAACACUAAAGGCAUAAAGGAAGAAGGUUCAAGCUCUAAGAAGUCGGAAGGCUCUCAUGAUCGAGGUAAAACUCCACUUUAGGCGAUUUGGAGAUAUGGAGCGAGCACGUGUCCAUGCUUUAUUAUACCAAGCGCUUCCGCUAGUUAUAUGCACACUUUUUGGGUCCAUGUCUUCUUAUUUUGUUUAAUCUUGUUAGAAGUCAUACACUUAAAAACUUGUUGUCCUCGUUUUUGGAAAGUUUAAAGUUAAAUGGGUCGUAGAUUGUCGUUAGUUUAAUAGCUUAAAAACAGGGGGCAUGCUCGUUUUACGAACGGGUCACGCCCAAUUUUUGUAAGAAUUUCGUUAUGUAUUAAAUUUGGUAUGUUGAUGUCCUUAAA